rnacentral:rRNA from 1 species
CCGCCUGGGGAGUACGGCCGCAAGGUUAAAAACUCAAAUGAAUUGACGGGGGCCCGCACAAGCGGUGGAGCAUGUGGUUUAAUUCGACGCAACGCGAAGAACCUUACCUGGCCUUGACAUGCAGAGAACUUUCCAGAGAUGGAUUGGUGCCUUCGGGAACUCUGACACAGGUGCUGCAUGGCCGUCGUCAGCUCGUGUCGUGAGAUGUUGGGUUAAGUCCCGUAACGAGCGCAACCCCUAUCCCUAGUUGCUAGCAGUUCGGCUGAGAACUCUAGGGAGGCUGCCGGUGACAAACCGGAGGAAGGUGGGGAUGACGUCAGGUCAUCAUGGCCCUUACGGCCAGGGCUACACACGUGCUACAAUGGUGCGUACAGAGGGCUGCAAACCCGCGAGGGGGAGCUAAUCUCACAAAACGCAUCGUAGUCCGGAUCGGAGUCUGCAACUCGACUCCGUGAAGUCGGAAUCGCUAGUAAUCGCGAAUCAGAAUGUCGCGGUGAAUACGUUCCCGGGCCUUGUACACACCGCCCGUCACACCAUGGGAGUGGAGUGCACCAGAAGUGGUUAGUCUAACCUCCGGGAGGA